AUGAGGGGCGGCGGUGGCGGGGUGAUGGACGACGGCGGGGUUGAGCACGCGCAGAUCCCGAACAGCUUCGGCCACGAGCUCCGCGCAUGCCUCCGCUGCCGCCUCGUCAAGACCUACGACCAGUUCAGGGAGAAUGGCUGCGAGAAUUGCCCCUUCCUGGACAUGGACAAAGAUCGCGACAAUGUUGUCAGCUGCACCACCGCCAACUUCACUGGAAUAAUAUCGCUGAUGGAUCCCAAUAGGAGUUGGGCUGCUCGUUGGUUGAGAAUUGGGAGGUUCAUUCCAGGGUGCUAUACUCUGGCUGUCUCAGAGGAACUUCCCGAGGAGUAUCAGGGGAUGUGCCAAGACAACAACGUGCAGUAUUUCCCUCCGAAGCGCCCCUGA
rnacentral:rRNA from 1 species